GUUUUAUUCUAUAGCACUGUAAAGCACAUUGUAACCUUGUCGUGAAAGGUGCUGUACUAAUAAAGUUAUUCUUGGUCUUAGCAGAAGUAGAGGGAGUUGGUAUCAAUAGACUCACUUCAUGCGUAUCUUGCGCGCCAUGGCCCGCAGCUCUCCUUCCCGUUCCUGUCAACGGAGGAAAUGAGAGGCAGUAGGGGUGCUUUAAAAAAACAGUUUCCAGACAGACAGACAGACAGACAGACAGACAGACAGACAGACAGACAGGCUCACAGCUAUAGAAGCACAGACACACAGCCUGACGGACACAGCCUCUGACUGACAGACAGACACCGACAAACAGACAGACAGACAGACGGACAGACAGACAGGCAGGCAGGCAGACACGUAGACAGGCAGACACGUAGACAGUCAGGCAGGCAGGCAGGCUCCCACACCUGUCUCUUGUUCUCCUGGUUCUGGAUCUUGGCCUGAGCUGCCUUCUUAUCCGCCUUGGCUGCAGGAGGAGAACUCAGUUAGUCAUAACAGAGGACUGAGGUCCUCCACACUGAGCUAGUUUAAUCUAGGUUAGUCAUCACAGAGUACUGAGGUCCUCCACACUGAGCUAGUUUAAUCUAGGUUAGUCAUCACAGAGUACUGAGGUCCUCCACACUGAGCUAGUUUAAUCUAGGUUAGUCAUAACAGAGUACUGAGGUCCUCCACACUGAGCUA
ensembl:lncRNA